rnacentral:rRNA from 1 species
GACGAACGCUGGCGGCGUGCCUAAUACAUGCAAGUAGAACGCUGAAGGAGGAGCUUGCUUCUCUGGAUGAGUUGCGAACGGGUGAGUAACGCGUAGGUAACCUGCCUGGUAGCGGGGGAUAACUAUUGGAAACGAUAGCUAAUACCGCAUAAGAGUAGAUGUUGCAUGACAUUUGCUUAAAAGGUGCAAUUGCAUCACUACCAGAUGGACCUGCGUUGUAUUAGCUAGUUGGUGGGGUGACGGCUCACCAAGGCGACGAUACAUAGCCGACCUGAGAGGGUGAUCGGCCACACUGGGACUGAGACACGGCCCAGACUCCUACGGGAGGCAGCAGUAGGGAAUCUUCGGCAAUGGACGGAAGUCUGACCGAGCAACGCCGCGUGAGUGAAGAAGGUUUUCGGAUCGUAAAGCUCUGUUGUAAGAGAAGAACGAGUGUGAGAGUGGAAAGUUCACACUGUGACGGUAUCUUACCAGAAAGGGACGGCUAACUACGUG